rnacentral:misc_RNA from 1 species
AAAGUCGUAACAAGGUUUCCGUAGGUGAACCUGCGGAAGGAUCAUUAAAGCGUUUCCGUUGUGGUGCAUCGGGUAUUCUGCCCGCUCUGCGCCACGCGAAACCCCACCCUUGACUAUUAUACCACUUGUUGCUUUGGCGGGCCCGUCGUAAGGCCGCCGGGAGCUUAUGCCCCUGGCCCGCGCCCGCCAGAGACAAUUUUGAACCCUUUGUGAAAUUGACUGUCUGAGUUUAUGAUUAAAUCAUUAAAACUUUCAACAAUGGAUCUCUUGGUUCCG